rnacentral:rRNA from 1 species
AACGCGAAGAACCUUACCUGGGCUCGAAAUGGAGUGGACAAGGGUGGAAACAUCCUCUCCCAGCAAUGGGCUGCUCUAUAGGUGCUGCAUGGCUGUCGUCAGCUCGUGUCGUGAGAUGUUGGGUUAAGUCCCGCAACGAGCGCAACCCUUAUUACCAGUUGCCAUCAUUAAGUUGGGCACUCAGGUGAGACCGCCUCGGAUAACGGGGAGGAAGGCGGGGAUGACGUCAAGUCCUCAUGGCCUUUAUGUCCAGGGCUACACACGUGCUACAAUGGCCGGUACAAACCGUCGCAAACCCGUGAGGGGGAGCUAAUCGGAAAAAGCCGGCCUCAGUUCGGAUUGUAGUCUGCAACUCGACUACAUGAAGCUGGAAUCGCUAGUAAUCGCGGAUCAGAACGCCGCGGUGAAUACGUUCCCGGGCCUUGUACACACCGGUUCUC